rnacentral:rRNA from 1 species
GACGAACCGUGCGAACGUUGUUCGGAAUCACUGGGCUUAAAGGGCGCGUAGGCGGACCAGCUAGUCCGGGGUGAAAGCUUUCGGCUCAACCGGAAAAGGGCCUCGGAUACUGCUGGUCUUGAGGGAGGUAGGGGCACGCGGAACUUCCGGUGGAGCGGUGAAAUGCGUUGAUAUCGGAAGGAACGCCGGUGGCGAAAGCGGCGUGCUGGCCCUCUUCUGACGCUGAGGCGCGAAAGCGUGGGGAGCAAACAGG